GAACCCUUGGCACAGUGGUAGCGCGUGAGAUUCCAGAAUGGGAAAUCCUCAAGGUCGUCCGUUCAAUCCGGGCAGGGUUCA
rnacentral:tRNA from 1 species